GCUCCUGGCUCAGGACGAACGCUGGCGGCGCGCCUAACACAUGCAAGUCGAACGGAGCUAUGUUGAAAGCUUGCUGGAUAUAUAGCUUAGUGGCGGACGGGUGAGUAACACGUGAGCAACCUGCCUUUCAGAGUGGAAUAACGUUUGGAAACGAACGCUAAUACCGCAUAACGUCAGAGGAUGGCAUCGUCUUUUGACCAAAGAUUUAUCGCUGAAAGAUGGGCUCGCGGCCGAUUAGG
rnacentral:rRNA from 1 species